AGCUAAUACUUGCCUUAGCACUCUUGAUUAAGUUCUUGAGUGUGUACUUGUUAAGCCUUUUAAGAAAAAAGUUAUUAACUUAAGGAAUUAUAACAAAGAAGUAACACGUAAUGGAUCCGUCCAUUUUUAGUGUGUAUCAAUCGAGUUUCUGACCUAUCAGCUUUUGAUGUUAGGGUAUUGGCCUAACAUGGCUAUGACGGGUAACGGGGAAUUAGAGUUCGAUUCCGGAGAGGGAGCCUGAGAAAUAGCUACCACAUCUAAGGAAGGCAGCAGGCGCGUAAAUUACCCAAUUCUAAAGAAGAGAGGUAGUGACAAGAAAUAACAAUACAAGGCCAAUCUGGCUUUGUAAUUGGAAUGAUGGGAAUUUAAAACCUUCCCAAAACUCAAUUGGAGGGCAAGUCUGGUGCCAGCAGCCGCGGUAAUUCCAGCUCCAAUAGCGUAUAUUAAAAUUGUUGCAGUUAAAACGCUCGUAGUUGAAUUUCAAAGAAUCGAUAUUUUAAGUAACGCUUUUAGCUUAAUCCACAUAACUGAUACUACGUAUCGACUUUGUGCGCAUUUUGCUAUUAUGUGUUCUUUUAAUUAAAAUGAUUCUUUUUAAGGUCUUUCUUUUGCUCCGGCAUUUGAAGAUCUUGUUACUUUGAGUAAAUUAGAGUGUUCAAAGCAAACAGAUAUAGCAUUUGUGCGUUUGAAUACUACAGCAUGGAAUAACAAAAUUGAACAAGUCAGAAUUUUUUUGUUCUUUUUUCUUAUUUUGGCUUAGUUACGAUUAAUAGGAGUAGCUUGGGGGCAUUUGUAUUCAGACGUCAGAGGUGAAAUUCUUAGAUUUUCUGGAGACAAACAACUGCGAAAGCAUUUGCCUAAAAUACUUCCAUUAAUCAAGAACGAAAGUUAAGGGAGUGAAGACGAUCAGAUACCGUCGUAAUCUUAACCAUAAACUAUGCCGACUAGGCUUUGGAUGAAAGAUUUUAAAAUAAGA
rnacentral:rRNA from 1 species